rnacentral:lncRNA from 1 species
AAUCCUGCAAGCUUUACACCACAGUACACUGCCAAUUUGGAGGAAACCAGGUGUGAGGGUGAGACUGCUAGAUGAGCUCGUGGAAGUCGUGUCCCCAGGGAAGCACAAUUCCUUGGGCCAUACAUAGUGUUCCUUGUUUCCAGUUAGACAUUGAUUGUCUCACGAUUGAAGAGACUAGUAGGAAAAUAUCGAUCUCAGAGACUGCCCAGU